GGUUAAGCGACUAAGCGUACACGGUGGAUGCCCUGGCAGUCAGAGGCGAUGAAGGACGUGCUAAUCUGCGAUAAGCGUCGGUAAGGUGAUAUGAACCGUUAUAACCGGCGAUUUCCGAAUGGGGAAACCCAGUGUGAUUCGUCACACUAUCAUUAACUGAAUCCAUAGGUUAAUGAGGCGAACCGGGGGAACUGAAACAUCUAAGUACCCCGAGGAAAAGAAAUCAACCGAGAUUCCCCCAGUAGCGGCGAGCGAACGGGGAGCAGCCCAGAGCCUGAAUCAGUGUGUGUGUUAGUGGAAGCGUCUGGAAAGGCGCGCGAUACAGGGUGACAGCCCCGUACACAAAAAUGCACAUGCUGUGAGCUCGAUGAGUAGGGCGGGACACGUGGUAUCCUGUCUGAAUAUGGGGGGACCAUCCUCCAAGGCUAAAUACUCCUGACUGACCGAUAGUGAACCAGUACCGUGAGGGAAAGGCGAAAAGAACCCCGGCGAGGGGAGUGAAAAAGAACCUGAAACCGUGUACGUACAAGCAGUGGGAGCACGCUUAGGCGUGUGACUGCGUACCUUUUGUAUAAUGGGUCAGCGACUUAUAUUCUGUAGCAAGGUUAACCGAAUAGGGGAGCCGAAGGGAAACCGAGUCUUAACUGGGCGUUAAGUUGCAGGGUAUAGACCCGAAACCCGGUGAUCUAGCCAUGGGCAGGUUGAAGGUUGGGUAACACUAACUGGAGGACCGAACCGACUAAUGUUGAAAAAUUAGCGGAUGACUUGUGGCUGGGGGUGAAAGGCCAAUCAAACCGGGAGAUAGCUGGUUCUCCCCGAAAGCUAUUUAGGUAGCGCCUCGUGAAUUCAUCUCCGGGGGUAGAGCACUGUUUCGGCAAGGGGGUCAUCCCGACUUACCAACCC
rnacentral:rRNA from 1 species